CAGCCGCCGCGGUAACACGGAGGGUGCAAGCGUUAAUCGGAAUUACUGGGCGUAAAGCGCACGCAGGCGGUCUGACAAGUCAGAUGUGAAAUCCCCGGGCUUAACCUGGGAACUGCAUUUGAAACUAUCAGGCUGGAGUCUUGUAGAGGGGGGUAGAAUUCCAGGUGUAGCGGUGAAAUGCGUAGAGAUCUGGAGGAAUACCGGUGGCGAAGGCGGCCCCCUGGACAAAGACUGACGCUCAGGUGCGAAAGCGUGGGGAGCAAACAGGAUUAGAUACCCCUGUAGUCCCUGUCUCUUAUAC
rnacentral:rRNA from 1 species